AACGCACAUUGCGCCCGCUAGUAUUCUGGCGGGCAUGCCUGUUCGAGCGUCAUUUCAACCCCUCAAGCCCCAGUAGGCUUGGUGUUGGGGCGCACCCGCGAGCCUCUCAGCGCCGCGGGCCCCCUAAAGUCAUCGGCGGACCCCCCGCGGACUCCGAGCGCAGUAGUCUUACGCCUCGCUCUGGUGGACCGGGGCGGCCUUCCAGCCGCUAAACCCCAAACUUUACCAAGGUUGACCUCGGAUCAGGUAGGAAUACCCGCUGAACUUAA
rnacentral:misc_RNA from 1 species